AUCUAGCUGAUGAGACCCAAACAGAAUGAAACGCGUGUCAAACUGGAU
rfam:Schistosoma rodhaini strain Burundi genome assembly, scaffold: SROB_scaffold0000074